AAAAAAAUGAAAAGAUCGAGAAAUACUAUCUCGAGCAAUUAAGGAUGACAAGGAAGCUGAUUCAACAACUGGAGGACGCACUGGCGAAUAAACGAUUAACGCAGUCAAGAAUGUGAUUGUUUUCCAAAAAAGGACAUUGAUCUUUGCUUGAAAAUGGACAACAGCUACUUGCAUCAGCCUACCUUUCGAUUGACGGGAUUUUAGACUCCAGAGAUACCAUCAGAAAGACUUACACAUAACAUUCAUAAUUAUAACAAAAUUAUAACAUUGAUCAACUAAAUAAUUUUCUCUCUUUCCUUUGUGUACAACUUCCUGCCUAAUAACACAUAUUACGAGCUUUAGAAGAUGUUCAUGAUAACGAGGAUUGAUCAAACGCUUAUUUAAAGCGUACGGACGAUACCAAACACUUAACCUUCAUCAGUUACAUCAAUCAAACCAAAGAAGAAUGUUGAGGUCUUUAUAAACAGAAGUUUUAACGAAUUCCUCAACUUUUUUUCUGAAACCUAAAUUUGAAAUAUUUUCUUUGAUAGAACGAAAAAUCCUUAUAACUAUACUGUAACAUGAGGUAAAGCUGUCAGAAAAACUAAGGGGUGUUUGUAAUUGUUAAUCUUUUUCAUAUUUAAGUGAUAUUUUUCGCGAUAAAAAAACGGCACCUUGAUUAUUCUUUUCAUAUAUAACCUCAUUAGAUCUGUGUUAAGUACAAUAUAUUAAACAAUGAUAGAGAAUGCUUGAGUUUCUAAUAGUUCUUAAAGAAGUUGUAAUAACACACUGUGACGCCAGGAAUGUUUUUUUUUUUUUUUAAUAUUUGAUCAUUUUUUGCAGUAUAUCAAUAAUGCUAGAUGUAAUAUAAAUCUGUUUAUUUUAUUGUGUAUCAUUUAAGUGUAUCCCUUCCCUUUCUGAAGUGAUUAAUACGUCGGUGUUAUUACAGAACUGAUUUUAUACUUUUCAUUUAUAUGGUAUAUUAAAUCGUUUGUCUUUCAUAAAGGGAAAUUAAGAAACUUCCGCAAAUACAAAAUCUACGUAUAUGUCAAACACUACGGAUGAAAGUACAUGAGCCUCACGUUUCUUUCCAAAUAUUUUGUUACAAAAGUCAAAUAGAUAGUGAACACUAAUUUAUUUAACGACGUUUCGCUUUCAAUUCGUUAGAUGCUUGUGUAAAAACUACGACAUUUUUCGACCAUAAAAUGGUUUGGCUCCAUUUUCGUGUUUAUGAAAGUCCCUUUAGGUCUGACAGGCGUCAUAAGCCAUUAUUACAUGUAAAACUAUUUUAAUUAUUUUAUUGUUCUCAUAAUUGUUUUAUGUGUAGCUCUUCUACCCAAUUUGUAAUCUGUGAGAUGUUUAAUGAUUACCAAACCAGAUAGAAAUAUGUGGUCUUGUUCUUUUCUUCUUCUUUUUAAAUAAAUUUUAUUAAAUAAAUGUUCAUAAC